GACGAACGCUGGCGGCGUGCUUAACACAUGCAAGUCGAACGGAAAGGCCCUGCUUUUGUGGGGUGCUCGAGUGGCGAACGGGUGAGUAACACGUGAGUAACCUGCCCUUGACUUUGGGAUAACUUCAGGAAACUGGGGCUAAUACCGGAUAGGAGCUCCUGCUGCAUGGUGGGGGUUGGAAAGUUUCGGCGGUUGGGGAUGGACUCGCGGCUUAUCAGCUUGUUGGUGGGGUAGUGGCUUACCAAGGCUUUGACGGGUAGCCGGCCUGAGAGGGUGACCGGGCACAAUGGGACUGAGAUACGGCCCAGACUGCUACGGGAGGCAGCAGUGGGGAGUAUUGCACAGUGGGCGGAAGCCUGAUGCGACAACGCCGCGUGCGGGAUGACGGCCUUCGGGUUGUAAACCGCUUUCGCCUGUGACGAAGCGUGAGUGACGGUAAUGGGUAAAGAAGCACCGGCUAACUACGUG
rnacentral:rRNA from 1 species